rnacentral:rRNA from 1 species
CAGUAGCACGGGAAUACGAAGGGUGCAAGCGUUACUCGGAAUUACUGGGCGUAAAGCGUGCGUAGGUGGUGGUUUAAGUCCGUUGUGAAAGCCCUGGGCUCAACCUGGGAAUUGCAGUGGAUACUGGGUCACUAGAGUGUGGUAGAGGAUAGUGGAAUUUCCGGUGUAGCAGUGAAAUGCGUAGAGAUCGGAAGGAACAUCUGUGGCGAAGGCGACUAUCUGGGCCAACACUGACACUGAGGCACGAAAGCGUGGGGAGCAAACAGGAUUAGAUACCCGCGUAGUCCCUGUCUCUUAUACA